AGUGCGAUAAGGGGACCCCAAGUGCGAGGGCAUAUAGUCCUCGCUUUUUCCGACCGUAAGGUGGUCGGCGAAUAAGGGCUGGGCAAGACCGGUGCCAGCCGCCGCGGUAAUACCGGCAGCCCAAGUGAUGACCGAUAUUAUUGGGCCUAAAGCGUCCGUAGCCGGCCAUGAAGGUUCAUCGGGAAAUCCGCCAGCUUAACUGGCGGGCGUCCGGUGAAAACCACAUGGCUUGGGACCGGAAGGCUCGAGGGGUACGUCCGGGGUAGGAGUGAAAUCCCGUAAUCCUGGACGGACCACCGAUGGCGAAAGCACCUCGAGAAGACGGAUCCGACGGUGAGGGACGAAAGCUAGGGUCUCGAACCGGAUUAGAUACCCGGGUAGUCCUAGCUGUAAACGAUGCUCGCUAGGUGUGGCACAGGCUACGAGCCUGUGCUGUGCCGUAGGGAAGCCGAGAAGCGAGCCGCCUGGGAAGUACGUCCGC
rnacentral:rRNA from 1 species